CCUUGUUUACUUGAUUUUACUCCUCAUUAAAAUUCUUCCAAGGUGUGUCUAGUCUAGAGUGCCUUUACAAAUCUCUUGAGUAGUGGUUCUUCUGAGAAACACUUGGAACAAGUGAGCAUAUUGAAUUUAAAGCUACAUAUCCUCUAAAACAAUGUUAGUAGUUUAACAAUUUAUACUUAAAUGCUUUUGUUAUCAUCAAAAUCAAUUCUGGGGUGAACAAUCCCUCUCUUUUUGAUGAUGAUAAAAUUCUUUGAGUAUACCUUUCUCUCAAAUUUUAUUUUCAACUAUUGCAUGCAUGUCAUUCAAUUUUAGUCAAAUUUCAUGAACUCCCCCUAAGUAUGAUACUUAUGUUCAAUUUGAUUUCAAGUUUGUAUUACUCCCCCUUACUAUGUGCCAAUGCAUCUCUAGGAUUUUGAAUUGCUUCCAAAUUGCUUUGUUUCAAACUACUUUAUUAUGUGCCAAUCAAUUAUUGCUUGUCAUAGUUUUUCAAAAUUGGCAUUUUAAUCAAUUAAUACUUCAAACUUCGACAUAUACUCAAACUUUUCUCCCUCUUUUUGUCAUUAUCAAAAUGGAAAUAAUUUG
rnacentral:lncRNA from 1 species